CCUACGGGGGGCUGCAGUGAGGAAUAUUGGUCAAUGGACGAGAGUCUGAACCAGCCAAGUAGCGUGAAGGAUGACUGCCCUAUGGGUUGUAAACUUCUUUUAUAUGGGAAUAAAAUGUUCCACGUGUGGGAUUUUGUAUGUACCAUAUGAAUAAGGAUCGGCUAACUCCGCGCCAGCAGCCGCGGUAAUACGGAGGAUCCGAGCGUUAUCCGGAUUUAUUGGGUUUAAAGGGAGCGUAGGUGGAUUGUUAAGUCAGUUGUGAAAGUUUGCGGCUCAACCGUAAAAUUGCAGUUGAAACUGGCAGUCUUGAGUACAGUAGAGGUGGGCAGAAUUCGUGGUGUAGCGGUGAAAUGCUUAGAUAUCACGAAGAACUCCGAUUGCGAAGGCAGUUCACUGGACUGCAACUGACACUGAGGCUCGAAAGUGUGGGUAUCAAACAGGAUUAGAUACCCUUGUAGUC
rnacentral:rRNA from 1 species